GCUCAUACAUAGCAGCUAGCCAGUUCAUGCCGGUGGCUGGUGAAGACUAAUUUUAGCGAGAAACCCAGACUGUGUUUUACAUUCUAACAAGCGAUGUUAGUAUGCUUAAACGAUAUCCGUUUUCUCAAAGAGGGCAAUGUUUGCUAACCUGGUCAUUCAAACCUACUGCUAAUGUAAAUAUUCACCUUACCCAAACACCGAUCAUUCUUGUGACGGUGCGUCAGAAUAAAAUUCCCGAAUGGAAACUGGAGCUAGAGUUUAGAGUUCUGGUUGUGAAACACGGAACAAAGAAAUCUGAGAAUGAAAAUCCAGAGUGGUGAGGAAUCAAGUGGUAGAAGACUUCACUGACCUCUUAAUAUAACCUCUAUGACUGCAACAGGGUUCCGUGGUAAUGGCCUGGUCACGGCACCUUGACAUGUGGCAGCAACUGAGGGAUCAGGGGUCACAAAUGCAGUCCUACUGGUGAGGAAAGGGUUCCAGCAGUGACUGACAGGAGAGGAGGGCUCAUUGGUUCCCAUAUAGAGCAAUACUGCUGCAUCUCCUCUCCUGCUCCAGCAGAUGUGGAUCCCCAUGGUGACAGGAGAAGAACACCAGAGACACUGCAGAUGGAUGAGUUACACAUCACAAAGAGGAGGAGACAGAAUGACAGACUGCAGGCGCCAUCUGGGAGCGAGAUGUGCAUUACAGGAGCUAUCCAUAUGGUCGGGGCAUCAUGACUUUGCUCAUCUCAUCUCCCGUCAACAUCUCUUCUGCUCAAGUCCUCUCUCAAAUGAUCCACAUACACAUUCUAAACAGAAAGACAAAAACAUGCUCGUGUUUAUAGAUUUUUGCAGAGAUUAUACAAAUUUACACAUAACAGUCGGUAUUAGAUUAAAAUGUUAAACUCAUGUCUUCAAUACUCUUAAAAUGUACAUUUCCUCAUGAAUCGGGUGCUAUAGAUUAAGACUCUUCAUACAAUCUGAUUAUAGUACAUUUAUUAUAAUACAGAAAAUGAUUUGCCACCUCCAUAUCAUCCCCACCCCCAGACGUUGUUCAGUGUCGGGAGCUGGGGGCUUUUUUAAACCCAUCUGCUGUCUCGCACCUUCUAAUCUGCCCCCCCCCAGAACCCAAUGGCAUCGUACUCCUCAUCCUGUCCCCAUCCUACCCACUCAUCACCCAGUGCAUAAUAUAUUCCCCCUGUAACCAAAUACUACAGCUCACAUUGUAUUAAGCCACGUUGCAUAUGCUUAUAACACACACAGUGAUGUUUACAGACCUGUCAUCUGGAAUGUACUGUAGGCUAGAUGUAAGAUAAGUGUAUCUAUGUAUAUUUAGAAAUAAACAGUGUCAAUAUUAAAUCUCUGUGUGUUUGCUAAUUAUGACAAAUUCUUAUUCUACUCAAAAUCAACACUUAUUCGUCGCAAUUACUUUUUUUAUUGU
ensembl:lncRNA